CCGAAGUAUAACCUACCUCGGACCCCAGGUUACCUAACAUCUCGGCAUUUCCAUACCCAGACCCAAGAUUUGCAGCAAUCAGAAAGAAAAUUUUCACAGAAUCAGAACAUUUACCAGAGAGGCCAUAUUCCUCCUCCUGGUCCCCACGGAGAGGACCGUUUACACAGGAGGUACUCUUGGAAUGUAAAGCCAAAUGCCAGUCAAGCAGCGCAGAACAGAAGGUGGUAUCCUGGCGGUUACUACAGACUACCCUAUCCGACCUCUUAUAGAUGGACCAAGUGACACAAGCCUACUGUGGAAACCUAUCUAGAGACAGAACAGGACUGAAGACAGCCAGAGUGACUUUUUAUAAGAUCAGAGAUACAAGAGUUCU